rnacentral:lncRNA from 1 species
GCAGCAGUCUUUCUAUGUUUUUCCACUCUAACGAAGUUUCUCGAUGACCCGAAGCAAUGACCAACUCAAUUCUCUCCGGGACCGUGGUCGUCCGUCUCCGGUUUGCCGGCCGGUACCCGCUACCUGCUUUCUUUUUGAUCUUGCGCCCACGGCUGGGGCUCAGAGUCUCGGACUUUAUCGCCCGAAUCUUUCUAUCAGUUUCUUUCUGUCUGUGGGACUGCCCGCCAGCAGCAGAGGCGGUUCGAUUCCCCACCACUAAAAAGAGCGAUUGAAAAUCUCGAGAACCUAAACAAAAAUGCAG